CUUGCUCCUCUCUCCCUUUCACGGGCAGCGUACCAGAGCCGUGGGCGGCGUGUAUUUCUCCAUCUUUUCGUUUUGUGCGCUUGCGGCAGCAGUAGUCCUUGUUCGCUCGUUGCCCCCCCCCCAAAGGACAGGAGGAGAGAGUGCGCUCGCUUAACAGUGGCGCGUGACGGCAACACAUCCCGCACCCGCGCCCUCGCCACCGCGACGAAGCCGCCUCCUUUGCAACUCUACCUCUGCUCACCUGAACUCUAUUCGACAGGCGGCAAUGGUGGAGAAGACGUACUUGCGCUACGUCGUCGGGCCACAAGGCGGCGCUGUAGUGAGCAAUGCUUCUCUCGCGAUGGAUGCCGCUGUGGUGCCGUCUCGCUACACCGCCGCCGCCGGAAGCAGCGCCCGCCCGCGCACCGGCUCCCUUGCUCGUGGCAGUCGCGGCGGAUCGUCCCACGGACGUGGGGAACAUGCCACCAGUGGUCGUACGGCCCUUGCUCCCGUGAUCGCCACGUCGGCAGCUGCAGUCUUUGUGCCGUCCCUCGAGGCCGUCCGUGUCUACUCGGUGCGCAGCGGAGAGCUGCUACACACUCUCAUCCCUGCCGAGGCCAAGAUGCCGGUCGAGGUGACCACCCUGCACGUCGUGCCCAUGGAGGCGAACCAACGUGGCAGCAAGUUCAGUGCCGACGCAGACGUGCACAGUGGCAGCGGUGCCGCGACGCAGCAGUACAGCACGGGCUGGAUGCUGUUUGUCGGGUACUCGAACGGAUACGUGGCGGUGUUCUCCUGCAGUGCGGCCAACAACUACGGUCUGCCGGUGUGCCGCUUCUACGCGCUGGGCCACCGCGUGGACACGCAAGUGCUAGCUGUUGCCGUUGACUCGUCCCGCUCGACGCUGUGCUCAGCAGGACAAGAUACCGACAUCACGGUCUGGGACCUCGUAAGUCAAGAGGCGUCGUUCCGUCUGCGCGGGCACCGCGGUGGCGUGGUGGCGCUGGCGAUGGUGCCGUCCUUGUCUACGAGAAUCAGUACCGUUGGUGAUAUGGGCGGCAGUUCUGGCAACUUCAGCGGCACCGCUUACGAUCGCACGCUGCUGCUGAGUGGAUCAGCCGAUGGCCUGGUCAAGACCUGGGACCUCACCCUGCGUCAGUGUCUCCACACCGUCAUCGCCUCUGACACGCAGGUUACCGCGAUGGUAGCGGACUCGCAGGGCCGCCGCCUCUACUGCGGCCUGCGAGAGAACUACCUGAAGGUGUACAACACAGAGCCGCUGCUGACGUCGGCAUCGCUGGCCGCGCCAGAGCAGAGCGACGCCGCCAACGCGCACAACGGCACCGCCGCCGAGACGCAGCUGGAGGACGGCGCGAUUCUUGACCAUGGCACGGUGCCACGCAAGUAUCACAAGCCCAUCACGGCACUCGACUUCUCGCACGACGGCGCGUUUAUGGUGGGGUGCACAAGUCGCACCGUGGAGGUGUUCCACGUGCUGACCGCCGAGAAUGUGAAGAGGAAGCUGUACCGCAAGCGCAAGCGACGACGUGGCCCUGGAACGGCAGCCGACAGCGCUGAGGUGUUGGACGAGGAGGCGAGCGCAGGUUCUGGGCACCAGACGGGUAAGAAGAAGGUAGGCCGUAAGAAGAGUAAGAUGUGCGACACUGUGGCCGAGGACGACGGUGCUCAAGACGGCGACGAGGACGAUGCGGCGCCGUCGCACGGCGGUACCUCCGCGAGCGCCGCCACCGUCGUCGCGGCCACAGCUGCGGAGGAAGUCGUCUCACUGCGCGCUUUCUUCCUCCCGCAGAAGAUCCGCAGUGUGUGCUUCGUGCCGCCGACGUCCCGGGAGCAGCUUAGCGAGGCCGACACGCUGCACAUCGCCGUCACGUACAGCAGCAACACAAUGGAAACCUUCACGACAACGCUGACGACGAGCAACCGCGAGGGGGCGUCGGUGCUGACUCUGACGGACCUACGGCUGCGUCACACCUUCGACUGGAAGGGGCAUCACAGCGACAUUCGCGAGCUGGCAUUCGUCGACACCGACACAGCGCUGCUGUCGAUAAGCCGGGAGAAGGUGAUGAUGUGGUCGCUGACGGUGAAGGAGGACCUUCUGGAGAGCGACCACCUGGACCAUCACGACUUCUAUGACGCCAAGGAGGCAAACCUGGCACGCGUGGACUUCAAGGGCACGCUGAACAACGUGGGCAGCGUGGACGUCGAGGACGCGACCUGCAUGUCCGCCAUCUCCUCCUUGCUCUGCUGCGUCGGUCAGCAGGAUGGGUCGGUGCUGCUGCUCGACGUGGCGUCGUCAGCCGUGCUGUUUCGUGAGCCUGCCAUCCACGUUGGCGGCGUCAAGCACACCGUUCGGAGGCCGGACGGCGCCGGCUUCGUCACGCUCGGCGCCGAUCGCCGGCUACUUUUGUGGUCCAUCGGGCUUACCGAGGACAAGAAAAAUGUCCAGAGCGCGGGUAAUCGUGGCGCUGCCAAGAAGACACGGAUGACUGAAGCAGAUCGUGAUGAUGAUGACGAUGCAAUGACCGCUGGGGCCGGAGGCAACGGUGCCACCCUCGUCCAGGAGCAGGAGAUCGAACUGACGGAGGUGCCGCUGUGCGCCGCCUUCAGCCCGGAUGACCGCUUAUUCGGGGUGGGUCUGCAGAACAACAACGUCCAGCUCUUCUUUGCCGAUACCAUGAAGCCGUACCUCUCCCUCUUUGGCCACAAGCUGCCGCCGACGUCGCUUUCCUUCUCCACGGACGGCACACUGGUAGCCUCGGUCGGCAUGGACAAGUCGUUGCGCUUCUGGGGCACCGACUUCGGUGACUGCCACCGCGCCAUACACGCCCACGACGACUACAUCACGCAGGUGGAGUUCCUCGAGGAUACGCACUACGUCUUCACUGUGUCCAUGGACGGGUCUGUGAAGCAGUGGGACGGCGACAACUGGACAAUGAUCCAGCUCUUCCGCCAGCACCAGCGCGGUCUCUGGGCGGUGUCCGUCACCGCCAACGGCACGUGCGUCGCGACGGCCGGCGCUGACCGGUGCAUCCGCUGCUUCCUGCGCACGCAAGACAUCGUCUUCCCUCACGAAGAGGAGGAGCGCAUGGCGCAGGAAGCGAUGGACGAGGAGGUCGCCAAGCGUGCGGCGCUGCAGAAGCUCGACGGGGCGGACGUGAAUGGCACCGGGGCGGCUGAGGUGGGCAUUGCGGGCCAGCAGACGGCCACAACGGCGGAGGCGGCGGAGCGGCUAAUGGAGGCGCUAGACAUUGUGAACGUUGAGCAGCAGCGCAAGCAGUGCGGCGACGAUACGACGCCGCGUCACCCGAUGCUGCUGAAUAUGUCGGAGUGGGAGUUUCUCUGGUCCACCAUCGAGACGAUCCGGCCGAGCGAGCUGCGCUACACCCUGCUAUCGCUCACCAGCAUACACGUCGAUGCGCUACUGACGGCGCUGGAAUCGAUGCUGACGGAGAAGGCCGUGCUCAACUACGAGAUGGCGUCGAAGAUGGUUCUCGCGCUUGUCAUGAUGCCCGCAGAGUCGGGGUCCACUCAGGGGCUACGCGCCGCCGCCGUCCGCGGCGAAGUCUCUGAAGUGCAAGGUGCCCGUCGUCUCGCCGUGCUUCGCCGACGCAUCUCCGAGGGCCUGGACGAGAGCGUUAGCCGGAUGGACUACAGCGUAGCCGGAUUGCACCUCGUGCGUCAAUACCUCGAGGACACCGAAAAGAUCAAGUUCUUCGACUGCAGCAAGGCACAAGGGUACAAGCGCAAGUAUCACAGCCGCGCGCUGUCCACAUCAGAGGGCAAGCACUAAGCCUUAGGUUCAGCGUAGUGGCGCCGAAGGUGGUAGCCGUAUUGGUGUAGGACGCGGGUUUUCUUCUCUUUCGAAUUUUCAUUGGUAUCCUAACUCUCGAUGACGCGAAGAAACUAUUGAGAGAAACAGAGGGCAGCGCCAGAGGAAGAGAGUAAGAGGUGGGUGUGGGUGUGAGUUUGGGUGCACGUGCCAGCGUUCGCGGGUGCUUGGCCCCCUGACACUGGCUGCUCGCACCGCGACCAUUGUGCCCCUCCUCUCCUUUAUGCACUGUAAAUCGAACUAAAACCGUCCCCCUCCUCCCUCCCUUCUCUGUCGAUAAGGGCGGUGGAAGACGUGAUGCAACUCCGAAGAAAAAAAGAAGGAACAGCCCCCCCCCGUGCGGUGUUCUCCGAGCAUAGCACGAAUGACACGAGGAGCGCGCUCGUGCGUGGCGGUGUCGGUGGGAUGUUGAUCACGUGUGCGUGCGAGCGAGGCCGACGAAAUGGAGGAUGAAGAGAAGAAGGGGGCUCACACGACAGUGCAUCGAUUUUCCUCUCUCUUGCUUGCGUUCGUCUUCUGCCCCCCCCCCCUCCCUUCCUCACCGUGCGCGUCGGGCGCCCAGACAGGGGUGUGUGUGGAGGAAGGCAUCUCAUUGCAGUGGUGGGUCUUCUACUGACCAUCGCAGCCGCACCUUUGCUUUUUCGCCUUUCGCCCUCUCGCUCGCUCGCUCGGCCCCUCCCCCGCUCUCCCUGCGUUUGAGUGUGUGUGUGUGUGUAGACGAUGAGCUUCAAACACGGCGUCCGACGAACCGUUCGCUGUUCUGCUCCCUAUCCUCCCCCACCACCGCCACCGACCCACUCUUCGUCUUACUCCGCACGUCUCAUUUUAUCAUCCCCUCGCUCACACGUCGCCAG
rnacentral:misc_RNA from 1 species